AUUGAACGCUGGCGGCAUGCCUUACACAUGCAAGUCGAACGGCAGCACGGGAGCAAUCCUGGUGGCGAGUGGCGAACGGGUGAGUAAUAUAUCGGAACGUGCCCAGUCGUGGGGGAUAACGUAGCGAAAGCUACGCUAAUACCGCAUACGAUCUAUGGAUGAAAGCGGGGGAUCGCAAGACCUCGCGCGAUUGGAGCGGCCGAUAUCAGAUUAGGUAGUUGGUGAGGUAAAGGCUCGCCAAGCCGACGAUCUGUAGCUGGUCUGAGAGGACGACCAGCCACACUGGGACUGAGACACGGCCCAGACUCCUACGGGAGGCAGCAGUGGGGAAUUUUGGACAAUGGGCGGCAAGCCUGAUCCAGCAAUGCCGCGUGCAGGAUGAAGGCC
rnacentral:rRNA from 1 species